rnacentral:rRNA from 1 species
CUACGGGGCGCUGCAGUGGGGAAUAUUGCACAAUGGGCGCAAGCCUGAUGCAGCCAUGCCGCGUGUAUGAAGAAGGCCUUCGGGUUGUAAAGUACUUUCAGCGGGGAGGAAGGGAGUAAAGUUAAUACCUUUGCUCAUUGACGUUACCCGCAGAAGAAGCACCGGCUAACUCCGUGCCAGCAGCCUCGGUAAUACGGAGGGUGCAAGCGUUAAUCGGAAUUACUGGGCGUAAAGCGCACGCAGGCGGUUUGUUAAGUCAGAUGUGAAAUCCCCGGGCGCAACCUGGGAACUGCAUCUGAUACUGGCAAGCUUGAGUCUCGUAGAGGGGGGUAGAAUUCCAGGUGUAGCGGUGAAAUGCGUAGAGAUCUGGAGGAAUACCGGUGGCGAAGGCGGCCCCCUGGACGAAGACUGACGCUCAGGUGCGAAAGCGUGGGGAGCAAACAGGAUUAGAUACCCGCGUAGUC